GCACAACCUCAAAAGUGGUGAGCCUUUUCUCAUUCACGGAACGCAAGCUCCCUCUCCAUUCUUACCUGCAACUCCAUUCCUCCCAGGGGUCUAGCCUGAAAAUCACAAAGCCGAGGCCGGUAUCCGCUCAGGUGUCCAUCCUUCAUCCAACAACAUCUCUCUCAGCUCUCCCACACCACUCCUGCUACCACCAUGCGCCAGCACCACAUGAGCCCCUCUCUUCUCUAUCACUUAUGUGCCUCACCACCACACGACCUCAUCGAGAACCAGACCUGCAACCCAAUUGCAGCCCCUUCUCUCCCUCCCACCAAAACCCCCACCGCACACCCUGCCGCCACCCCUUCCUUCUGUCAUGAGUACCCGCAAACACCCUUCUUCCCCUUCACCUGCAAGGCCCCCAUCUAAAACCCAACCCUCUCCCUCGUCGACGCGAGCCUCUCACCUCGCUAGGCUUCAAUGGUUUCAUUGAUGGUUUCAAAACAAUUAUUAAUUGAAGUUUUUUUAGUGCAUCAUUUAUGUCAAAACAAUUUAAGAAUUUAGUUUUUCUAUGAUGUAGAAUCUGACCUAGGUUAUCACCUUUUCUUUUUCAAAUCCUGCAAUUUUAAUUUAGUUUUUCUAUGAUGUAGAAUCUGACCUAGGUUAUCACUUUUUCUUUUUCAAAUCCUGCAAUUUUCUAUGUUCGAAGAAAUUUACUCAUGUGUUUAGAAUGGUCCUGAGUCUACUGACGUUAUUUUUUCAUUUUCUGUUGGUUAUUUUUUCAUGCCCUUUCUGUAACAUGCUCUGUUAUUCCAUCAUAAGAAUGAAACAGUGCAGUGAAUGGAAAGAUGCUAAUGAAAAAGUGAUGCCUUGAGGAUCAAAGAUGCAUGCAGAGUCACUUGGUCUCGGCCGAACUGGAAUGGUUUGUUGCAUUGGACAACAAAUUGGUGGACUGGUGAGUCAGCUUCUAGGCUUUGAUUCAUUACAACAUGCAUUAUUAUUAAAAGGAGGAAGCCCAGACCAGCCCAGCCCAGCCCGAUUGAUCUGAGAGUUUACAAGUUGUUGUACUAUGGUUGUUGCCACUGUUGACCAAAUUUGAAGAGGAUGGAGAAAAACUACUGUUAUUAAAGAGGUGCUGCUAGAGUGUAUUUGAAGACGGAUAGUAGUGAAGAAGCUACUGCCACUGAUUUGUUGUUGUGAUCUCUUAAUCAUAUCUUCUAUUGUUGUCCUUACUUAGGUUAAAUUUGACCAUAAUGGUAUGUAUGUGAUUAAUGAUUUUAUUGUUCAUAAGUAAAUUUAUAUAAAGUGUUUGCCAAACAUUGUUUCUA